GUAGGUGAACCUGCGGAAGGAUCAUUAAUAGAGCAAUGGAUAGACAGCGCCUCGGGAGAAAUCCUGGGGGCCACCCGACUUCGGUCGGGUUUAGAGUCGUCAGGCCUCUCGGAGAAGCCUGGUCCAGACCUCCACCCUUGAAUAAAUUACCUUUGUUGCUUUGGCAGGGCGCCUCGCGCCAGCGGCUUCGGCUGUUGAGUACCUGCCAGAGGACCACAACUCUUGUUUUUAGUGAUGUCUGAGUACUAUAUAAUAGUUAAAACUUUCAACAACGGAUCUCUUGGUUCUG
rnacentral:misc_RNA from 1 species